GGUCCCAAGGGUAUGGCUGUUCGCCAUUUAAAGAGGUACGUGAGCUGGGUUCAGAACGUCGCGAGACAGUUCGGUCCCUAUCUGCCGUAGGUGUAGGAGAAUUGAGAGGAUCUGUCCCUAGUACGAGAGGACCGGGAUGGACGCACCUCUGGUGGACCUGUUGUCGCGCCAGCGGCAUAGCAGGGUAGCUAUGUGCGGAAGGGAUAACUGCUGAAAGCAUCUAAGCAGGAAACCCACCUCGAAACGAGUUCUCCCUGAGAGCCGUGGAAGACCACCACGUUGAUAGGCUGGGUGUGGAAGUGCGGCAACGCAUGGAGCUUACCAGUACUAAUAGCUCGAUAGGCUUGAUUAC
rnacentral:ncRNA from 1 species